rnacentral:rRNA from 1 species
GACGAACGCUGGCGGCGUGCCUAAUACAUGCAAGUAGAACGCACAGUUUAUACCGUAGCUUGCUACACCAUAGACUGUGAGUUGCGAACGGGUGAGUAACGCGUAGGUAACCUGCCUGGUAGCGGGGGAUAACUAUUGGAAACGAUAGCUAAUACCGCAUAAUAUUAAUUAUUGCAUGAUAAUUAAUUGAACGGUGCAAUUGCACCACUACCAGAUGGACCUGCGUUGUAUUAGCUAGUAGGUGAGGUAACGGCUCACCUAGGCGACGAUACAUAGCAGACGUGAGAGGGGGAUCGGCCAAACUGGGAAGGGGACAAGGCCCAGAAUCCUACGGGAGGCAGCAGUAGGGAAUCUUCGGAAAUGGACGAAAGUCUGACCGAGCAACGCCGCGGGAGGGAAGAAGGUUGUCGGAUCGUAAAGCUCUGUUGUAAGAGAAGAACGGGUGUGAGAGUGGAAAGUUCACACUGUGACGGUAUCUUACCAGAAAGAGACGGCUAACUACGUG